ACAGUGAUGUUAAAAACGAAAGUCCAGAUGGUGUUGUGGUUGGUUUAUCGGUGGUGUUGGCUCUUGUAAUCAUCUUGUUAAUAUUAGCUGUUCUAUCUACUAUAUAUUACCGACGGCAAAAUCAGCAGCUACUAAAAGGUAGUGAAAUCUCAACUGCCAGACAACCAAACAUUACUGGUUUUGAUAAUAAUGGUUUAAUGUCGACAUAUGAUGGUCUAGAAUUUAGUGAAAGAAAUCCAACUGAAGGAACAUACCAAGAAUUGAUUCAGAAUUCUACUAAUGUUGAUAACACAGCAAGUAACAGAAUGGAAGAUCCCACCUUUAUAAAUACCAGAACCAGAAUAUAGUUUGUUUCAAUUUGGUGGUAGGAGGUGGAAUGAAGAAUUCUGUAGCUGGUUGUGUAUAAUAGACAGUAUACAAUUACAUCACCUUUGUGAUCACCAGUUAUUUAACUUUAGUUUAUCUCAAUAGUCCUAUAUAAAGCAUUAUCAGAGUAUAUGUCUUGUAUUAACAUUGCGUAGGUUAUAAUGAAUUAUCCCUGUAUAUUUCUUGUAUUAAUCAUUUAACAUUACGUAGGUUAUAAUGGAUUAUCCCAGUAUAUGUCUUUAACAUUGAGUAGGUUAUAGAAUAACUCUAUAACUGAUUUAAUGAACUCAAUGUUAUGAUAUAAUUACGUCACAUAUUUACAUAUAAAUAAAAUAAAACCAAAUACGAACAAUACAAACCAUUAGACGAAAUUUGAAGUCCUAAAAAACGGUAUAGACAAAAUAGUGUAAAAAGGCAAAAUAGAUUAAUCAGCAUAUGGACUGUUCACCGUGUACAAAAUACACGACAAACAGGGGUAACAGGUGUCCGGAAGAGUAAGCUUACCCUGCCUGGCGCAACACCCGCCAUAGCUGCAUCCAAACUAUUAGGCGAAAUCUCGGUAAAAUAGCGUGAUUGGCCAAUGGACUUUCGGUAUGCAAAAUGCACGUGAUGAACAGUGUUAACGAUGUAGUAGACAGACAUUAUCAGGGAGAUAGUAUACGCGUCAAUUAAAUUAUACGCGUCAAUUAAAUAUAUCUAGAAUAAUAGCCGAGAGAGGCAUGUUAUAUUUACCAAUCAAGUCAAUAUGACGGCCAUAAAACUUUUUAAAGGUUUUAAUAAGUUUAGUUCGCAAGUAUCCCUGUAGUUGAAGCUUAGAUGACAAAUGCCUCGAUCUACUUAGAAAAAAAUCAGAAUAAAAUGAACAAGCUCUAGUUGAGACACAAACACUCCAUAAGCUGGUGAUAUUGGAAUGUUACUACUAAUAAAUGGAAAGUUAACAAUCGGAAAAUCAAAGUCAUCACGUUUAUCGUACAAUUUAACUCUAAGUUUAUGGCUAUUGUCAAAAACGAGACGCAGAUCCAAGUAGGAAACGUAAUUGUCACUGUCAGUAGUGUUUUUAAUUUCGAGCUCAUCAGGAUAUAUGAAUUCUACAUAAUCACUAAAUUUAGGAUUUUUAAGUGAUAGAACGUCAUCGAUAUAUCGAUAAGUGAAAUUAAAAAGUCUGACUGAUCGUUUAUUAGUUUUUACGAGCGUCUGUAUGUAAUUGGCUUCGUACGAAUAGAGAAACAAAUCAGCAAGCAAAGGUGCACAGUUGGUGCCCAUGGGGAUACCUACCACUUGCUGAUAAAUUUCCCCUCCAAAUUCAACAAAGAUAUUAUCAAUUAAAAAAUCCAACAUCUGAAUUAUCUUUUUGGCGGUGAAUUUAUUUUUGGGAUCACUAUGGUUCUUAACAAAAUAUGUGGAAUUGUAAUUAACAACUAAAUAUUGAUAUCUAACAUUUCCCGAUUUUGAUGAAAAGACACUGUGAAUAAUGUCUUUUGUCGACCACCAGUGGUAUGCUUUAGUUUAUCUUACUAUUCCUUAUCAAUUAUCCCGAUAUAUAUCUUGUAUAUGGUAUAGUGUGAUUACCACGUACAAUACAACCUUUUUAUUGGUGCCAAACAGCUAACACCACACCGUGGGGAGCACCAGUGUAUGAAUCUAGUAUUUUGUUUUCUGCGAAAUUUGAUCAACGAUGCUAUACUGAAAACAAACACAGAAAGAAUGAUAAUCUUACCUCAUAUAAGUACGUUUAAUUUCCUAUGUUUAGUUUCUUACUUGAAAUUGCGCAAUUGUCUGAAAAUUAUUAAUUAGUAAAUUUAAUUGAAUGUUUUGAUCAUAUUUUCACUGUGCUUAUAUUCCACCAUAACACUUGUAAUAAAAUCAUUA